rnacentral:rRNA from 1 species
GAUGAACGCUGGCGGCGUGCCUAAUACAUGCAAGUCGAGCGAACGGGCGAGAAGCUUGCUUCUCUGAUGUUAGCGGCGGACGGGUGAGUAACACGUGGAUAACCUACCUAUAAGACUGGGAUAACUUCGUGAAACCGGAGCUAAUACCGGAUGAUAUUUUGAACCGCAUGGUUCAAAAGUGAAAGACGGUCUUGCUGUCACUUAUAGAUGGAUCCGCGCUGCAUUAGCUAGUUGGUAAGGUAACGGCUUACCAAGGCAACGAUGCAUAGCCGACCUGAGAGGGUGAUCGGCCACACUGGAACUGAGACACGGUCCAGACUCCUACGGGAGGCAGCAGUAGGGAAUCUUCCGCAAUGGGCGAAAGCCUGACGGAGCAACGCCGCGUGAGUGAUGAAGGUCUUCGGAUCGUAAAACUCUGUUAUUAGGGAAGAACAUAUGUGUAAGUAACUGUGCACAUCUUGACGGUACCUAAUCAGAAAGCCACGGCUAACUACGUG